UCUAAUAUGGCAGAAUAGUGCAAUGGGCUUAAACUCCAUGUAUAAAGGCUAACCUUUUCUUAGAA
rnacentral:tRNA from 1 species